UACGAAGGGUGCAAGCGUUACUCGGAAUCACUGGGCGUAAAGCGUGCGUAGGCGGCUGCUCAAGUCAGAGGUGAAAGCCCUGGGCUCAACCUGGGAAUUGCAGUGGAUACUGGGUCACUAGAGUGUGGUAGAGGGUGGCGGAAUUCCCGGUGUAGCAGUGAAAUGCGUAGAGAUCGGGAGGAACACCCGUGGCGAAGGCGGCCACCUGGGCCAACACUGACACUGAGGCACGAAAGCGUGGGGAGCAAACAGG
rnacentral:rRNA from 1 species